rnacentral:rRNA from 1 species
AUUUAUACUGUGAAACUGCGAAUGGCUCAUUAAAUCAGUUAUAGUUUAUUUGAUGAUACCUUUUUACUACUUGGAUAACCGUAGUAAUUCUAGAGCUAAUACAUGCUAAAAAACCCGACUUUUGCGGAAGGGUUGUAUUUAUUAGAUUCAAAAACCAAUGCAGAGGCAACCCCUCUGGACCAUUGAUGAUUCAUAAUAACUUCUCGAAUCGUAUGGCCCUUCGUGCCGACGAUGAUUCAUUCAAAUUUCUGCCCUAUCAACUUUCGAUGGUAGUGUAGUGGACUACCAUGGUAGUAACGGGUAACGGGGAAUUAGGGUUCUAUUCCGGAGAGGGAGCCUGAGAGAUGGCUACCACUUCCAAGGAAGGCAGCAGGCGCGCAAAUUACCCAAAUCCCAAUACGGGGAGGUAGUGACAAUAAAUAACAAUACGGGUCCUUUCAAAGGUCUCGUAAUUGGAAUGAGUACAAUUUAAACCCCUUAACGAGGAACAAUU